AGAGUUUGAUCCUGGCUCAGAGCGAACGCUGGCGGCAGGCCUAACACAUGCAAGUCGAGCGCCGUAGCAAUACGGAGCGGCAGACGGGAGAGUAACACGUGGGAACGUGCCCUUCAGUUCGGAACAACCCAGGGAAACUUGGGCUAAUACCGGAUACGUCCGUAAGGAGAAAGAUUUAUCGCUGAAGGAUCGGCCCGCGUCUGAUUAGCUAGUUGGUGGGGUAACGGCCCACCAAGGCGACGAUCAGUAGCUGGUCUGAGAGGAUGAUCAGCCUCACUGGGACUGAGACACGGCCCAGACUCCUACGGGAGGCAGCAGUGGGGAAUAUUGGACAAUGGGCGCAAGCCUGAUCCAGCCAUGCCGCGUGGGUGAUGAAGGCCCUAGGGUUGUAAAGCCCUUUCGGCGGGGAAGAUAAUGACGGUACCCGCAGAAGAAGCCCCGGCUAACUUCGUGCCAGCAGCCGCGGUAAUACGAAGGGGGCUAGCGUUGCUCGGAAUCAC
rnacentral:rRNA from 1 species